CUCGGCAAAAUCCCAAUGGCCCACCAGGGCAUAUUGGAACACGGGCCUCGACUGUUUACCAAAAACAUAGCCCUCGGCCAAUAUGAAAAUAGAUGUAUAGAGGGUGAUGCCUGCCCAAUGGUUGUAUCUAAAAGCAGUUGAUAAAAGUCGACCUCGUAAGGACAAUUGAAUGGCCGCGGUAACACUGACCGUGAUAAUGUAGCGUAAUCAAUAGCCAAUUAAUUGUUGGCCAGUAUGAAUGGCGCCACGAAGGCCCCACUGUCUUAAGGAAAUUCCCAGUGAAAUUGAAUUCGUAGUGAAGAUGCUACGUCCAAUUUGUUAGACGAAAAGACCCCGUUGAGCUUUACUGGGGCACUUACACGGCCCUCGGCCUUCCCGUGCCCGGGAACCGGCCGAAUUUAAAUGGGUGGUUUAGACUAUGUGGCAGCCCCCCGCCGGGGCAGAUGAAACCCCACUCCCCCAUGUCAAAGGGGCUAACCCCCCCCUUGGGGGGGACAGUGUAAGUAGGACAGUUUGGUUGGGGCGACCGCCUUUUAAAGAGUAACGAAGGUGCGCUUAAGGUGCGCAAUUAAUGACUGAAGCCUGACUGCGAGGGGGAUACCCCGAGCAGACACCCCCCAAGCCCGCCCGAAGGGCGGCGGUGGGGUGGGCCAUAGUGACCCGUUAAUUUAGAGUGGAAUAGUUAACGAUCAACGAAUAAAAG
rnacentral:rRNA from 1 species